GGGAAGUGACUAGUGGGAAGAAGUUAUAGAAGCCACUCUGAGAAUGUAGCUGGGAGGAGACGGAGAAGCAGAAACGGUACUGAAGCUGUCAGGUGAAGGCAGAAAUGACCGGCUAAGAAGGCCUCAUACCAUCCAUCUGGAGCAUCCUGCAUUUCUCCCAGGCUCUUCAAGGUAGAGCUGCAUCUUCCUUUGACCUUUUGGACCCAGGUAGAUGAGGACCGGCCUUUCUCAGGCUCUAGAUUCGAGUCGGGUAAAAAACAGAGUUCAAAACGGAGAACCUCCCCUUUCAGGGAGCUCUGUUUUACAGCAGGGCUAAGGAAGGCCAGGUUGUUCCACCGACAAGGCACUGAGAGCCCACUGGAGUUGGUGACCCUGCGUGGGGUGGGGGUAGGGUGCUUGGAGGGAUCUUCCUGAGUUCUGGGAUCCCAUGGGUCUGUCCACACUUAGUGUGAAGCAUCUGAGGCCUAUUCAAAUGAGCUGCAAAUAAACCUUGCUCAGGCUCAGCCUGUCCCUGCCCCCACAGGUCCAGUGGGUCCAGAGGAGGCCCGUCUGCACAGUCAUCCUCAAAAGACCGCCCUUCCCUUUCACACCUCGGCUUUCCCAUCCAAAUCAAAUACGAUUUCUCAUGUGGACUGAGGUCUAGGGAGGCCAGAGAAAGGAGGAAGCAAUCUUCAGCUCUGUGGUACUCAGCCUCAGGUCCAAGGGUGACAGAUUUUAUUCUAAUAAAGUACGACAGCAC